CCCUGAGGAGCUCACACAGACAGGAGCCUGGAGCUAUGAUGAGACACCACCACUCACUGCACCACCAUGACAUGACAUAUCUACACACCUCUACACACAUAUACACAUAUCACACGUCCACCAGUCCAAAUAUUUCUGAAUUCCAGCAGAAACACACCUCAUUCAGCUUAAUAAGGGUGAUGAGGUGAUGAGUUGAGAAGAAAAGUACCAAGAAAGGUUUAGUUCUGGCUUUACGUACAGAGGGAUGCAGAGAGAACUUUCAAAGGUCAGUGAGAAGCUGAGAAGGCUGAGUAAAGUUUUCAGCUUUACAUAGCCUCUGGUUUUCUCAUGGUUAGAUGGAGACCUGGAGGUGCCUACAAGCCACACAGUCGUACACCUCCUUCCUUCCUGCUCCUCAGUUCAGAGUAUUGAAUUUUCCAGCAGGAUGAAGCUCCAUGUCCCACAGCCUGGUCAACCACGAUGUGGAUGGAGGUCCAUCAGAUCGAGACCAUGUACUGAGGCUGAACCUCCCUAAAAAUGUCAGCAAUGUGAUCCAAAGAUCACAAACCAUUAAGCUGCUUGAAUUUUUGAGGUAGUUGUGAGCAAUAAGUUCCCCAGCAACUCACCAAGCCCUCAUGGGGCUUCCUUUCCCCAAAACCUGAGAUUCAAACACAACCUGUUGUUUUCUUUUUAUCAUUAGAGCAGUGAUUACGCUGCAUCUUUAUUAAAUGUUGGCUUCUUGUCAUUUUCUGCAAAUACAUUCUCUAAACAAUGAUAUUUUUUAUUUGGGUGGAAUGUUUCUCUAUACUGUGUCAGAAGUUUAUCCCAACUGAUGAUGAAAACCUGUUCUCUCUGAUUUCUGAAGAACGCAUCAGUGCAGAUCUUCUGCUGUCUGUUUUCUCUUGUCUUCAGCUGAAUGUGAAGAAUUUUGCAGUAUGUAAUGGAUCAUGCGAUCAACAGUCGAUUGCUCCUGCCUUGUUGGUUUUUGUGGCUAGCCUGCUGCUUUGUUGUCAAUACACAGUUGCUGAGUUACACUCUCGUGUCAUGCCUUUUAUUUUAUGCUUAUACUGCUGCAUAAACAAAGAAUGUGAAAGGGGAAUCCUGCUGCACAGCGACAGAAGAAGCUCAUGCAGCAGUUCCCAAAGUGGGGGUCGGUUUCCAAGAUUUCCAGAAACUUUAUUUAUUUAUUUUUUAUAUGUUAAAAACGGUUGUAAUGAUGUCCUUUUGGAUCACUUUCAUAAGUAUUUCCCUGAAGGAGACGCUCCCGACCAAUAUAAGCUCACCCUUCAAUGUAACCACGGCAAAUCAUCUGGCGUCAGAUACGGAAGAUGCGCUGAUAGAACUUUCAACCGAUCGAACCCCGAGGACGGCAUUUGGCAAGACGCUGGAAGAGUUCUGGGCUUCUGUCGCGCUGGAAUAUCCACAGUUGUCGAAAGCCGCAUUGGAUGUACUCAUGCAAUUUGUCUCAAUGUAUUUAUGCGAAAAGACAUUCUCCGCGCUGACUUACAUUAAGAAUAAACACAGGUCACGGCUUAAUGUGGAAGAUGAUCUGCGGGUGGCGAUCUCCAAAAUUGAAGAUUGAGUGGACCUGCUUUUCUCCGCGCACAGCACCAUCCACCACAUUAGGCGUUUUUUCUGAAUACAAUUAAAAUUAAAAUACAAUUAUACAUGCACGCCAGCCAGCGCUGUACGCAUGUUACAGGCAGCUUGUUCGUGUUCUGUCUGUAAGCAUUUCACAGUUAUGGGAUGUAUUUGUUUUUGUCCAUAAUUUGUUAAUAAAAUAGCCUGGCUUAGA